GGUCAGAUGGCCGAGCGGUCUAAGGCGCUAGACUCAAGUGAUACAAUAGCUUCCUACCUCUGAAGGUAGGUGUAUUCUAGUAGAGCAAUCUGCGUGGGUUCGAAUCCCAUUCUGAUCA